rnacentral:lncRNA from 1 species
GGGAGAGCUCCUACCGUGACAGGCUCCCAGCGCAGCAGAGCCCACACAGAGAGCUCCCUCAGAUCCAGACCGACAGCUCCCGGGAAGGGACGCCUUGUCUCCAGGAGGCUGCAGAACAAACCACGGUAGUCCUGACAGAGAGAAACGAGACCCGAAUCUUCCCACUGCCACCCUCGGGCCAAGAAUCACAGGCAUCACAGUUC